rnacentral:rRNA from 1 species
AUUGAACGCUGGCGGCAGGCCUAACACAUGCAAGUCGAAUGGUAACAGGAAACAGCUUGCUGUUUCGCUGACGAGUGGCGGACGGGUGAGUAAUGUCUGGGAAACUGCCUGAUGGAGGGGGAUAACUACUGGAAACGGUAGCUAAUACCGCAUAACGUCGCAAGACCAAAGAGGGGGACCUUCGGGCCUCUUGCCAUCAGAUGUGCCCAGAUGGGAUUAGCUAGUAGGUGGGGUAACGGCUCACCUAGGCGACGAUCCCUAGCUGGUCUGAGAGGAUGACCAGCCACACUGGAACUGAGACACGGUCCAGACUCCUACGGGAGGCAGCAGUGGGGAAUAUUGCACAGUGGGCGCAAGCCUGAUGCAGCCAUGCCGCGUGUAUGAAGAAGGCCUUCGGGUUGUAAAGUACUUUCAGCGGGGAGGAAGGGAGUAAAGUUAAUACCUUUGCUCAUUGACGUUACCCGCAGAAGAAGCACCGGCUAACUCCGUG